rnacentral:lncRNA from 1 species
CAACCCCAACGCCAGGGCUGUCCUGCUUCUACAAGUGACAAUGACAAAUAUAGGCCUGAAGGAAGAUGAGCUGAUGGCAUUCCCAGCUUACUACCACUCCUUGGGGGCCUUAUCUCACAUACGUGGAUUCAAUUCAUAGACUCAGGGCUGCUGUGGUUUUCUGGGGGUCCACUCUGGACCCUCAUCACCUCAGUCUCUCCUGCCCCUGGAGGUAUCACCAGUGAAGGCUGCGAAACAGCAAAGAUGGCGGCCUGUUCCUUCCUCUGGGAGCACCAGUCCAAGGAGGUACCGACUUGAUGCCAGCUGGAACGCUCCUGUAGGAGGUGUCUGGAGACCCCUGUUGGGAGGUCUUGCCCAGUCAGGAGAAACAGAAUCAGGGACUGCUUAAAGAAGCAGUCUGGCUGCCCUUUGGCAGAGCAGGUGUGCUGUGGUGACUGCCAGGAGUCUCCAGAGCCAGCAGGCUGGAAAGGCUCAGUUGGCUGAACUGGGGAGACAGCAGCUACCCCUCUCCCUGGGGACUUCAUCCCAGGGAGAAAUCAGAGUUCUGUCCAUAGAACUCUGGCUGGAGUUGCUAAAAUUCCGAUGGGCAGGCCCUGUUCGGUGAGGAGGGAUGGAUUUCGGUCUCACUUAAAGAAGCAGCCCGGCCAGGAUCAGGCACAGCAGCUGUGCUGUGUUAUGGGGGACUCCUCCUGGUCCCUGGUGCCAGCAGGCUAGAGCGGCCAACUCAAACCACAGAUAGAGUGGCUGCCCUCCCCCGGGAACUCAGUCCAUCUCCGGCUGUCUCCAGCCUGCUGCCACUGGCCAGCUGGAAUUCAGUGGUUUGUAGUCCUCCUUGAAGAGGUUCUUCACUUCGCUUGUUAGCUGUAUUCCUAUGUAUUUUAUUCUCUUUGUAGUAAUUGUGAAUGAAGUUCAUUCAUGAUUUGGCUCUCUACUUGCCUGUUGUUGGUGUAUAGGAAUACUAGCGAUUUUUGCACAUUGAUUUUGUAUCCUGAGAUUCUGUUGAUGUGGUUCAUCAGCUUAAGAAGCUUUUGGGCUGAGAUGAUGGGGUUUUCUAGAUACAGGAUCAUGUCAUCUGCAAACAAAGAUAAUUUGAUUUCCUCUCUUCCUAUUUAAAUACCUUUAUUUCUUUCUCCUGCCUGCUUGCCCUGGCCAGAAACUCCAGUACUAUGUUGAAUAGGAGUGGUGAGAGAGGCCAUCCUUGUCUUGUGCCAGUUCUCAAGGGGAAUGCUUCCAGGUUUUGCUCAUUCAGUAUGAUAUUGGCUGUGGGUUUGUCAUAUAUGGCUCUUAUUAUUUUGAGGUGUGAUCCUUCAAUAGCUAGUUUAUUGAGAGUUUUUGACAUGAAGGGAUGUUGAAUUUUAUUGAAGGCCUUUUCUGCAUCUGUUGAGAUAAUCGUGUUGUUUUUGUGUUUAAUUCUGUUUAUGUGAGGAAUUACAUUUAUAGAUUUGCCUGUGUUGAACCAACCUUGUAUCCCAGGGAUGAAGCCAUCUUGAUCGUGGUGGGUCAAGGUACCCUUAUCAGUCUUAGGUUCAGUCUUUUUACAUAAUCCCAUAUUUCUUGAAGGUUUUAUUCAUUCUUUUUUGGUCUUUUUUCUCUAUUCUUCUCUGUUCUUUUUUCUCUAUUCUUCUCUUCCUGUCUUAGACAGAUGGCUUUGAAGCUCUGAGAUUCUUUCCUCCACUUGGCCUAUUCUGCUAGUGAUACUUGUGGUUGCAUUGCGAAGUUCUCGUGUUGUGUUUCUCACCUCCAUCAGGUCAGUUAUGUUCCUCUCUAAACUGAAUAUUCUGGUUAUCACCUUCUGUAAUUUCUUUUAUGAUUUUUAGCUUCCUUGCAUUAAGUUAGAAUGUGCUCCUUUAGCUCAGUGUGGUUUGUUAUUACCCACCUCCUAAAGCCUACUUUUGUCAAUUCAGCCAUCUCAGCCUGGGGUCAGUUCUGUGCCCUUGCUGGGGAGGUGUUGUUGUCAUUUAGAGGAGAAGAGGCAUUCUGCCUCUUUGAGUUUUCAGCGUUUUUGUGUUAUGUUUUGUCAUCUUUGUGGGCUUAUCUACCUUUGAUUUUUGACGUUGCUGACCUUUGAAUGGGGUUUUCGUGGGGUCUUUUUUGUUGAUGGUGUUGCUUUCUGUUUGUUUUUAACAGUCAGACCACUCUUCCCUAGGGCUGCUGUGGUUUUCUGGGGGUCCACUCUGGACCCUCAUCACCUCAGUCUCUCCUGCCCCUGGAGGUAUCACCAGUGAAGGCUGCGAAACAGCAAAGAUGGCGGCCUGUUCCUUCCUCUGGGAGCACCAGUCCAAGGAGGUACCGACUUGAUGCCAGCUGGAACGCUCCUGUAGGAGGUGUCUGGAGACCCCUGUUGGGAGGUCUUGCCCAGUCAGGAGAAACAGAAUCAGGGACUGCUUAAAGAAGCAGUCUGGCUGCCCUUUGGCAGAGCAGGUGUGCUGUGGUGACUGCCAGGAGUCUCCAGAGCCAGCAGGCUGGAAAGGCUCAGUUGGCUGAACUGGGGAGACAGCAGCUACCCCUCUCCCUGGGGACUUCAUCCCAGGGAGAAAUCAGAGUUCUGUCCAUAGAACUCUGGCUGGAGUUGCUAAAAUUCCGAUGGGCAGGCCCUGUUCGGUGAGGAGGGAUGGAUUUCGGUCUCACUUAAAGAAGCAGCCCGGCCACGAUCAGGCACAGCAGCUGUGCUGUGUUAUGGGGGACUCCUCCUGGUCCCUGGUGCCAGCAGGCUAGAGCGGCCAACUCAAACCACAGAUAGAGUGGCUGCCCUCCCCCAGGAACUCGGUCCAUCUCCGGCUGUCUCCAGCCUGCUGCCACUGGCCAGCUGGAAUUCCGUGGUUUGUAGUCCUCCUUGAAGAGGUUCUUCACUUCGCUUGUUAGCUGUAUUCCUAUGUAUUUUAUUCUCUUUGUAGUAAUUGUGAAUGAAGUUCAUUCAUGAUUUGGCUCUCUACUUGCCUGUUGUUGGUGUAUAGGAAUACUAGCGAUUUUUGCACAUUGAUUUUGUAUCCUGAGAUUCUGUUGAUGUGGUUCAUCAGCUUAAGAAGCUUUUGGGCUGAGAUGAUGGGGUUUUCUAGAUACAGGAUCAUGUCAUCUGCAAACAAAGAUAAUUUGAUUUCCUCUCUUCCUAUUUAAAUACCUUUAUUUCUUUCUCCUGCCUGCUUGCCCUGGCCAGAAACUCCAGUACUAUGUUGAAUAGGAGUGGUGAGAGAGGCCAUCCUUGUCUUGUGCCAGUUCUCAAGGGGAAUGCUUCCAGGUUUUGCUCAUUCAGUAUGAUAUUGGCUGUGGGUUUGUCAUAUAUGGCUCUUAUUAUUUUGAGGUGUGAUCCUUCAAUAGCUAGUUUAUUGAGAGUUUUUGACAUGAAGGGAUGUUGAAUUUUAUUGAAGGCCUUUUCUGCAUCUGUUGAGAUAAUCGUGUUGUUUUUGUGUUUAAUUCUGUUUAUGUGAGGAAUUACAUUUAUAGAUUUGCCUGUGUUGAACCAACCUUGUAUCCCAGGGAUGAAGCCAUCUUGAUCGUGGUGGGUCAAGGUACCCUUAUCAGUCUUAGGUUCAGUCUUUUUACAUAAUCCCAUAUUUCUUGAAGGUUUUAUUCAUUCUUUUUUGGUCUUUUUUCUCUAUUCUUCUCUGUUCUUUUUUCUCUAUUCUUCUCUUCCUGUCUUAGACAGAUGGCUUUGAAGCUCUGAGAUUCUUUCCUCCACUUGGCCUAUUCUGCUAGUGAUACUUGUGGUUGCAUUGCGAAGUUCUCGUGUUGUGUUUCUCACCUCCAUCAGGUCAGUUAUGUUCCUCUCUAAACUGAAUAUUCUGGUUAUCACCUUCUGUAAUUUCUUUUAUGAUUUUUAGCUUCCUUGCAUUAAGUUAGAAUGUGCUCCUUUAGCUCAGUGUGGUUUGUUAUUACCCACCUCCUAAAGCCUACUUUUGUCAAUUCAGCCAUCUCAGCCUGGGGUCAGUUCUGUGCCCUUGCUGGGGAGGUGUUGUUGUCAUUUAGAGGAGAAGAGGCAUUCUGCCUCUUUGAGUUUUCAGCGUUUUUGUGUUAUGUUUUGUCAUCUUUGUGGGCUUAUCUACCUUUGAUUUUUGACGUUGCUGACCUUUGAAUGGGGUUUUCGUGGGGUCUUUUUUGUUGAUGGUGUUGCUUUCUGUUUGUUUUUAACAGUCAGACCACUCUUCCCUAGGGCUGCUGUGGUUUUCUGGGGGUCCACUCUGGACCCUCAUCACCUCAGUCUCUCCUGCCCCUGGAGGUAUCACCAGUGAAGGCUGCGAAACAGCAAAGAUGGCGGCCUGUUCCUUCCUCUGGGAGCACCAGUCCAAGGAGGUACCGACUUGAUGCCAGCUGGAACGCUCCUGUAGGAGGUGUCUGGAGACCCCUGUUGGGAGGUCUUGCCCAGUCAGGAGAAACAGAAUCAGGGACUGCUUAAAGAAGCAGUCUGGCUGCCCUUUGGCAGAGCAGGUGUGCUGUGGUGACUGCCAGGAGUCUCCAGAGCCAGCAGGCUGGAAAGGCUCAGUUGGCUGAACUGGGGAGACAGCAGCUACCCCUCUCCCUGGGGACUUCAUCCCAGGGAGAAAUCAGAGUUCUGUCCAUAGAACUCUGGCUGGAGUUGCUAAAAUUCCGAUGGGCAGGCCCUGUUCGGUGAGGAGGGAUGGAUUUCGGUCUCACUUAAAGAAGCAGCCCGGCCACGAUCAGGCACAGCAGCUGUGCUGUGUUAUGGGGGACUCCUCCUGGUCCCUGGUGCCAGCAGGCUAGAGCGGCCAACUCAAACCACAGAUAGAGUGGCUGCCCUCCCCCAGGAACUCGGUCCAUCUCCGGCUGUCUCCAGCCUGCUGCCACUGGCCAGCUGGAAUUCCAAGCCAAUGGGACUUGUGAGGUGCUGUGGGAGUGGGGCCUCAGAAUGAUGUCACUUGGCUCCCUGGAUUCAGCCCCCUUCCUAGGGGAAUGCACGGAUGUAUCUCCCGCUUUGCUGGAAUUUUCGGGGCAGAGGAUGCAAAACUCCUGGGCUUUCACGCAUGCCCCAGUGAGCCAGCGAGCAUUCCGCCCAGACUCCACACAGCUCUGUGCUUCAGACCCAAGGCCAUGGCUGAGCUCACCAGGGGGCCUCCUGAUCUGCAGGUUGCAAAGAUCCGUGGGAGAAGCAUGGUUUCCCAGGCAGAGUCGCACAAUCACUCACCGCCUCCCUUGGCUGUGAGUGGGGUCGCCCCUAGCUCCGUGCCACACCUGGGUGGGCCAUCGCCCCACUUGCUUUUCCUUACUCCCUGUGGGUCGAGCUGUCUGGCUAGUCAGUCCCAAUGCAAGAACCUGGAUACCUCAACUGAAGGUGCAGAAUUCACUUGCAGUUUUCACUGCUCUCCGUGAGAGCCGCAGGCCACAGCUGUUUCUAAUAGGCCAGCUUGGCCCCAUCUAAAGUAUGAUUUCUUAAUACAUGAGAUGUUUUAAAUAUGUAACAAUAUUUAUCACAAAUAAUAUUUUGUCUCAAUGUGAUAUAAAAAUUGCUAAUAAAUCAAUUCUUUUUUGGUUACCACAAAGCUAUCUGGAAAUGUAACAUCUGCCAUUUAGAAAAUUUUUGUAGAGUUAAUAGAACUUUACCUGAAGGGAGGCUGGCAAUAUGCAUCAUGAUUUCAAAUAUUGUAUUAAUUGUUUUGUAAUUUUGUGUUUUUUAAAACUAAACUUAUUAAAUUGGUUGUAUAUUACUUUAGGUAGCACUAUUUGGUGAUGAGAGA